rnacentral:rRNA from 1 species
UGAGUAACGCGUAUGCAACUUGCCUAUCAGAGGGGGAUAACCCGGCGAAAGUCGGACUAAUACCGCAUGAAGCAGGGAUCCCGCAUGGGAAUAUUUGCUAAAGAUUCAUCGCUGAUAGAUAGGCAUGCGUUCCAUUAGGCAGUUGGCGGGGUAACGGCCCACCAAACCGACGAUGGAUAGGGGUUCUGAGAGGAAGGUCCCCCACAUUGGUACUGAGACACGGACCAAACUCCUACGGGAGGCAGCAGUGAGGAAUAUUGGUCAAUGGCCGAGAGGCUGAACCAGCCAAGUCGCGUGAGGGAUGAAGGUUCUAUGGAUCGUAAACCUCUUUUAUAAGGGAAUAAAGUGACCCACGUGUGGGUUUUUGUAUGUACCUUAUGAAUAAGGAUCGGCUAACUCCGUGCCAGCAGCCGCGGUAAUACGGAGGAUCCGAGCGUUAUCCGGAUUUAUUGGGUUUAAAGGGUGCGUAGGCGGCCCCUUAAGUCAGCGGUGAAAGUCUGUGGCUCAACCAUAGAAUUGCCGUUGAAACUGGGGGGCUUGAGUAUGUUUGAGGCAGGCGGAAUGCGUGGUGUAGCGGUGAAAUGCUUAGAUAUCACGCAGAACCCCGAUUG